CAUAAUGUGAGCACUUGAGUGCCAAUAAACUGCUUGAGCCUCCUCAUCCUCAAAUUUAAGAAGCUCUAAGGCACCCACAAAAUGAAAUGAUAAAAGAGCUUCUUGGUGAUGAAAGGAGUAGCAGAGUCUCCCCAGCCUCCUCUAGUGCAGGGAGUGUGUGUGCAGGUCUGCACAUACAUACUGCUGGGCACAACCUCUCAGACCCCAGACUGCUGGGAGAGAAUUCAAGAAGGUGAUGGAGACUUUGGCGAAAGGACUGAAGCCACUUGGGAGCAGUGUGGCCUUGCCUAUGAGGAAGGCUCAGGGAACCUUCCCGGAACUGACCAGCACAGCCGGGCAGCCUGGAGUCUCCAGCUGAUGAAAAGGGAGAUAUUUCACAGAGUAUAAAUCUUUCAUCUUGCAAAUGCUCCUUUGGUGAGAAAUCAGACAUGGAUAAGGAGUGGGCAGAAUUUUUGCCCCAGUGAAUGGA
ensembl:lncRNA